GCAGAUGUGGAGAAGUCUCUCAGAGGUCCCCCCGGGACCCCCCUUACAAGUCACCCCAAUGGGCCUGGGACUUUGUGGAGAGCUCCUUUACCUACCUCCUCACCCCACCCCUUCCCCAGACACCUCCUGCUCUUCCUCGAGGCAGUGGUGGAUGGUCCCGAGACCUGGGUUAGAAUCUCAGUCUGCCCUUUAUUUUCUGGGAGGCCCAGGGUCCGUAACCAGCACAUAACUUCAUGAGUGUGGGCGGAUCCAUUCUUUUUCUGGCCCUCAGUUUCCCCAUCUGCACAAUGAGGAAGAGGGACCUGAUGGCUUCUAAGGGACUUCAGCUCACCCCACUCUCGUCUCUUAUUAGGCUUCCCACGUGUCCAAGUUUCUGCCAAACUGGCAGUUCUGAGGCCCUGAGACAUAAAGAACACGGCCCGGGCCAUGUAGGACGCCCCCGGGGCCACGUAGGACUGCCGGGCGUGGCUGAGAGCUCAUACAAGCAAGAAGCUCUUAGGGCCAGAGAGGACUCUGGGAGGAAGCCCAUAAUCCCACUCUCGGAUCCCACAAUCCCACUCUCAGAGAGGGAACAUAAAUAGAGCUUCAGUGAGCCAGCCAGAGUGCGUUCAGCCAAAAAGAUUGAGAGGGGAACGUCAAGUGAGUUUAGCCAGAAGCCCUCUCUUGGAGGCAAGUCCGAUUCAUUCCAUCUUCCACCUUCGUGCUGGCUGGAGGCUGAAGGAAGCAGAGGCAGAAGCAAAGGACAAAGCUGCAAGAGCUCUUGGAACCAAGCAGAGAGAUAGGCCACUAAGAAAACUAACCGGGCUAUUUUGGAAGGAGAAAAUAAACAUUUGGAUUUUAAUCA